GCCCGUGUGAUGGAAUUGGUAGACGUGCUGGAUUCAAAAUCCAGUGGUAGUGAUACCGUGUCGGUUCGCGCCCGACCAUGGGCACCA
rnacentral:tRNA from 1 species